CUUCACUUCGACAGCACAUAUACUAAAAUUGGAACGAUACAGAGAAGAUUAGCAUGGCCCCUGCGCAAGGAAAAUAAAUAAAUAACAAAAUUAAAGUUGAAAAUA